rnacentral:rRNA from 1 species
AUUGAACGCUGGCGGCAGGCUUAACACAUGCAAGUCGAGCGAGAGGAGGACGGGUGAGUAAUGUCUGGGAAACUGCCUGAUGGAGGGGGAUAACUACUGGAAACGGUAGCUAAUACCGCAUACCAUCAGAUGUGCCCAGAUGGGAGUAGCUAGUAGGUGGGGUAAUGGCUCACCUAGGCGACUAUCCCUAGCUGGUCUGAGAGGAUGACCAGCCACACUGUAACUGAGACACGGUCCAGCCUCCUACGGGAGGAAGCAGUUGGGAAUAUUGCACAAUGGGCGCAAUCCUGAUGCAGCCAUGCCGCGUGUGUGAAGAAGGCCUUCGGGUUGUAAAGCACUUUCAGCGAGGAGGCGUUACUCUCAGAAGAAGCACCGGCUAACUCCGUGCCAGCAGCCGCGGUAAUUC